UACGUAGGGACCUAGCGUUGUCCGGAAUCAUUGGGCGUAAAGCGCGCGUAGGCGGCCCGGUAAGUCCGUUGUGAAAGUCAAAGGCUCAACCUUUGAAAGCCGAUGGAUACUGCCGGGCUAGAGUACGGAAGAGGCGAGUAGAAUUCCUGGUGUAGCGGUGGAAUGCGCAGAUAUCAGGAGGAAUACCCAUAGCGAAGGCAGCUCGCUGGGACGUUACUGACGCUGAGGCGCGAAAGCGUGGGGAGCAAACAGG
rnacentral:rRNA from 1 species